UACGUAGGUGGCAAGCGUUGUCCGGAUUUACUGGGCGUAAAGCGUGCGCAGGCGGUUAUGUAAGACAGGUGUGAAAUCCCAGGGCUUAACCUUGGAACUGCAUUUGUGACUGCAUAGCUAGAGUACGGUAGAGGGGGAUGGAAUUCCGCGUGUAGCAGUGAAAUGCGUAGAUAUGCGGAGGAACACCGAUGGCGAAGGCAAUCCCCUGGACCUGUACUGACGCUCAUGCACGAAAGCGUGGGGAGCAAACAGG
rnacentral:rRNA from 1 species